rnacentral:rRNA from 1 species
GAUGAACGCUGGCGGCGUGCCUAAUACAUGCAAGUCGAGCGAACAGACGAGGAGCUUGCUCCUCUGACGUUAGCGACGGACGGGUGAGUAACACGUGGAUAACCUACCUAUAAGACUGGGAUAACUUCGGGAAACCGGAGCUAAUACCGGAUAAUAUAUUGAACCGCAUGGUUCAAUAGUGAAAGACGGUUUUGCUGUCACUUAUAGAUGGAUCCGCGCCGCAUUAGCUAGUUGGUAAGGUAACGGCUUACCAAGGCGACGAUGCGUAGCUGACCUGAGAGGGUGAUCGGCCACACUGGAACUGAGACACGGUCCAGACUCCUACGGGAGGCAGCAGUAGGGAAUCUUCCGCAAUGGGCGAAAGCCUGACGGAGCAACGCCGCGUGAGUGAUGAAGGUCUUCGGAUCGUAAAACUCUGUUAUUAGGGAAGAACAAAUGUGUAAGUAACUAUGCACGUCUUGACGGUACCUAAUCAGAAAGCCACGGCUAACUACGUG